CUUCAGCAUAGCUGUGUGAAUCCAGACACACCGUAAGAGUAGGACACACCAUCCAUGUAUCUGGUACAUUUACACUCUGAACCAAAGGUCCCCAACCACUGGGGCAGGGACCAGUACUGGGCAGUGGUACUGAGAGCUCUGACUGUACUGGAUGUUUUUGGCAGCGCGUCUGUUCUGCUUCAGAUUUAUGCUGCCGGACUGGGACGUGACUUUCAUGUGCCACAACUAAAAUGAUACACAGUACCUGCAUGUUGGCAAAGGAGGUCUGAGGAGCCAGUCUGAUUCUCUCUCUCUCAUUCUGCUGUGCUGCUCGUUCGGCUGCUCGCUCGCUCCCUGGUGCUCUCUUAUCUGCCACAGGACUGUCUGAGGA